AUGUCUGUAAAUACAGAAAUAGCUGAGCUCCUGUGCCGCGUGACAGCAGAAAAUACUCCCUUCUGUCCUACAGACUGGUUGUGCUUUUCAUCUUUUCCUGCCUGGGCUCACAGGGGCAGUGGCAUCCUCAUGCAAGCUGGUCUACUGGUGGCUGCCCCACUGACCUGCUUCUGAAUGGACAGGCAGGAAAGGUCUCCCACUGUGUUGCAUUUAAAGAAAAGAAAAAGAUGAAUGAAGUAAAAAGCUCUGCAAACAACUGAGUGUAAUUAUUGGGUAUGUAUACAUUUAUGCAUAUUUUCCUUUUUGAAUCUGUUGAUUUAUUGCUUUUUAAAUGAAAAAUGGAUCUGUCCAAAAGGUGAAAAUAAAGGAUUUUAUAUUUCUUUCUUCUUUCAGCUGUUUUAGCCUAAGAACAGAAAACCCCCAGCCCGUUUAGUAUUCUAGGCAUUUAAAAGACCCUCAAGUAUCAGCUCUUUGGAAGCCCAGUGUUUUUAAAUUUGCAGAAUAGACAGGGCAAGAUGCC
rnacentral:lncRNA from 10 species